UUUUUUUUUCUUCUCACAACGGGCCAGAAUUAUAAUCAUCUAACCCAUUUUUUUUUCUUCCAUUUGUUAGCUACGAAGCUACAGUGUCCAAGAAAAACCGCAGCUUGUCGAAAGAGCUUUCCACAGGGGCCGUCGCAUCUGUUUUCUUGGUACGCCAAUCAGCUAUCUAUGUGCUCCUAAUUUCUGCUUGAUUAAUGUGCUCGGUCAAACUAAUUUUUCCCCUCCUUUUGACCAUUUUUUUUCCUUAAAAUAUCUCCAUGGCAGGGCUUCGGAUCUCUGUUCUUGCUGCUUUCAGCUGGAGUUUAUGUUUGACUUCAGAGGAAAUACCUCUCUUCCAUGAGCCGCCCUUGCUGGCAGGAUAUGUCUUGACUCUACUUCCUUUGGUAGCCUUAAUUAGACUAUGAUCCCCCCCUCCUCCUUCCAUGAGAGAUCUCCUAAAGUAAUCAUCUUUUAGCCAUAAUAAGAUCAUAUGAUUCUCAUGCAGGAGUCUAUCUGAUCUCUAUCUGUCUAUGAAAUCUUUCCUAGUUGAGAUUCCCACAGAUUAUAAAUGACAGGGAAGUACCCAAAAAAAGAAAAAAAAAAAAGACAAAGAAAGAAAGAUCACUGAGAGAAUCUUUACCUGGGUGGCGUCUUGCUGAUGAGCUUGGGCAACUUGUAUCUGAUAUCCCUCCUGGUUCGAAGAUUCAUAGCCUCAUGAACUAGAUUCUACUGAUAUCAUCAAGGGCGUCACUGAUAGCCGCACAGCCCUCAAAGGCCUCCCCACCUUGUCCCCUCCACCGAGCCAAUCUCCCCGCGAGGUCCUUCAUCGUCACCUCUCUCUCUCCUCCGCCGUCCUCCUCCCGGGGAUGGGCUCGGAGGAGCUCCCUGACACACCUCAACAAGUACCCAGCUGUCUUGCUCUUCAUGAGACUAAUAAAGGCUGGGCUUUCACCGGCGUGGUCGAGUAGCGAGCUGGAAAUCUCUUCCAGGUGAUCAAAUAGGCUGAACACAAGCGCUGCCCCUCUCAGCGGCCGCUCACCGGAGGCGGAGCUGCUCCAAGUCUCUCCUGUUGCAGCGGCGUAGCCUAGCACAAGGGCAAACUCCCUCUCCUCCAGGAGACCUGCGUGGGAGAUGAGCAUCCCCAGAGGAACUCUCCUGAACAGCUGGCUUGACCUGGGGUCAACGAUCUCCAUUGUCCUCACCUCACUCCGCCACUGCCCAGCGGCCGCCCCGUUGCAGAACUCUUCAUACCGUUCAUGGAACCUCCCCAGCCAGAGCUCAGCCCCCGUGCCGACGGGCGCGGGCGUCCGGGCCUCAGACGCCUUCCUUUUCCUUAGUUUUUUCUGGCCAUCCUUCUGGCUCUUCUCGUGGGCCCCGGAUGAACUCGCCGUCGCCCAGGACUGUGAUAACUCGCCCAGACUGUGAGCGCACAGACGGAAGCCUUCCUCAUCCAGUGGGCUCAGAACGAGUGCGAGGUAUCUUGAAGCGGCUCGGCGCAGGGUCAUCUCGGCAGAGAAGAGCAGGGCGGCGGCCAGGUAGAACCAGGCGGGGAAGCUCAUCAGCAUGGCCCUUCAGCACGAGUUGACUUGCCCGGUCAGAAUGGGGUCAGUCAAAUCAGGAGGAAGAGGAGGAUGAAUCCUUCAUACCACGUGGAAUUGCAGUCUAUUCUAGAGAACGCUGCUCUGCUCCAGGGGAGAUGGGGUGCUGCCACGUGCGCUUCAAUCAGUUUGACCAGAUUGAGGAAACCGUCGCACGAGGUGGGCCCGGUCAAAGCAGCCAGAAGCUGAGCGUGCCAGGUGGGGAAGUAGGCGCGAAGAAAUGGGAGCUUCAGGCCCAGCUCCAUUGAGAAACCCCACCACAUGGGCCUGGAAAGCGCAUCUAAUAAGGAUGACACAAGAGCGAUCUGGAGAUCAAUUACAGAAGCCAGGCCGCUGAUCAAGAAAAAAAAACAACUUAUAAAUAAGAUCAAUAAAAUAAAUUAGAUGAAAAAAGUGGUUCUCAAAUAAUAUCAAUGCGUCUGGUGCGGCUGCAAUUCGUAUAAAAUGCAGCCAAAAUGAUGAAAAACAGCAUCUAAAUGAUCGAUUCACAGUACGAUCAACACUGGGUAAUCAUCUACGAAACAAAGCGUUGAUGCUGAUGCCGGACUUCAAAGAAGAUUAUGACAGGGAGAGAUGAUAUUUUGCCAAUUUCAGGGCUGUUUCUUACAAUACUAUGGUUUGAUCAUUCUAUUGGCAGAAUAAAUCGCAUCAAAAUCCAAUUGGCAGAAAAAGUACUUAUAUAAACAUAUGAUAAUCAAAGACACUAAACAUCAAGAUUCAAGCCGUUAAACAUUGAAGAAUCCCAGAGUUGUUCGUUCUGCUGUUGUCAAUUAAUCAUGAAUUUACCGAAACAAGAUGUGAAGAAUGCCUUAUUGAAUAGUGAUAUUCUGAGUGCAAUGCUCCCAUUGAAUACAUGACGUAAGACAGUGCGUAAGUUAAAUAAAGUAAAGCACAAUAAAUUCAAAUAAGUUCCAAGAGUAUGAUUUGACAGAACAUGUGGCCUUGGCCAGCUUUGAUUACAGGAAAAGUAGUACAUAUCACGUUUUAUCUGUAAAACGAGAAGAUAAGUAGGAGAAUAUUUGCAUAUCAAUUGAUUGUGGAUCUGAUUCGAAUACUAUAUAUCAUAAUGACGAGGCGUUCGCUCUAUUGAAAACAAAACUUGACUAGGAAUAAGGUUCCAGCGAUUUGGAUGAUCUGAGAUGAGAUGGUGAGAUCAUACAUAUGAAUACGAAAACCAUGAUCCCAGUUGAAGAAAAUCAUUCGCUAAACGCACGAGAGAGAGAGAGAGAGAGAGAGAGAGAGAGAGAGAGAGAGAGAGAGAGAGNNNNNNNNNNNNNNNNNNNNAGAGAGAGAGAGAGGAGUUCCUUUUCGAUGCUGACAUGGGAAACUAUCAAACACAAUAGAUAAAUUUCCGGUGUCAUUUUUCGUCCAUCUUAUUCCUAUCAUUCUGAAUAUGUUCAAACUUGAAUCCAUCACUUAUGAAUCUUACAUGCUGAUAUUUGUAGUUUGCCCAUAAAUGUUGUUGUGUGCAUCUACAACUUGGUGGGCCUUCACUAAGCUCAGACGUCUCUAGGUCUUCUCCAUCCCUACUCUGAUUUUGUCAAGAGCAGAUGUGACAGCAGAGUGACAAAAAUCUACAGAAAUUCCUUCGAGUGUUCUUAAAAGCAUAUUUUUUCAUGUAAAUCCAAUUGCAGCUGGCAGUCAAGGGCAAGGGAUGUGAAGAAAAGACACGAGGGAGGAUCCACAAUACCCGCAUGGAAAAAAAUAUAAACUAAGUGGGGAAUCGUAUCCUCGCAGCUCUCUUAAAAGGCUUCAUUCAUGAGCCACUGAAUCCUUUCUCAUUAUUUGUAAUUAACGAGCUGACACUUAGGUUUUAGAUAUGCUAUCAGAUAUUUAUUCAAGUCUAGUUUUCAAUGUGGAUGACUGGUUCCCAUCAAGAUGCCACCUUUGAUUUUUAUAUCCAGUCUAUAAGUUCCUACCAAUUAAUACAUAUGCCAUCAUCUAUUUUCAAAAAUCUUAAAACCAGGUGUCAGUACAUUUGACUCUUGGUCAACAUAGUAUAUCUUCGAAUGUAAAAAAGGAAGAAAAGAUUUCAAGCACUAUUGCCAACUGUUCUAUGUACUUUUUUGGAGAAAGCCGACAGUUUUUAGGUGCUAAAGAAGGACUCUUCAUUUAUCAUGCUAUCUGGUCGGUAAAUCGUUGAACUUGAAUUGCGGAACCAAAUAUCAAAAUUUCCAAAAUAUUUCUAUAAAUGGAGACGAUUGUUACUUAAGACAAAUAAUCCUGGUUUCUCAUUGGGUGCAGAUUUUCUUGAUCACCAACUCUUUUCAGAUCCAGUUACGAGUGGUUUUUGAAAAUGCGCAGGAGAUCUAAGUGAAGCAUGAAAACUCUCUUAGUUUAGAAUACAGGACAUAUAACAAUCUAAAAUAUAAUCAUACGUUGGACAAUCAGUAAAUGUGAAGCGAAAUAAGCAGAACUUACGUCAUAAGAAACCAUUUAUGCAAUAAAGUCCUCAUCAGUGUAAAUGCGGUCGGAGAAGUUACCAAACACAUAAUUAGAAUACGCCAAGUCACCCUGUCAUGAAAUUCAUCCUUCAAACAAAGAAAUGGCCUGUGAACGACUUCCUUUAGUAAGUUUGAAGUCUCAUCUUUAAGAAGAGCUGGAUCAAGGUACCACAAAAGUAAUCUGCAAGAAGACCACAAACUUAUUCGUGACCCCUUGGACAAACGUCUGGGCAGAGGAUUAUUUGAAGAGACAAUGAUCCAUCACUUGGGGGAAAUCAAUUAAUAGAUGAAGAUUUGAAAUUUUUCAUGAAAGAAGACAUGAUCAUGUGUAACAUUAGAAAGGAUGAAUAAAAUCUCCGAGUUAUUUGCGACAAAAAUACACAUGGAUUGCAGCUAUGACACUGUUAGAAAUACAACCUACAUUCAAUAUUUCCAUUUAACAGACACACAUGAUGAAUGUUCUCUAAGGUAUCAAACAUAGGUCUAAGCUUCUUUUCAUGACCUGACUGUAGAGUAGGCAGAAAACUCAGUGCUUUGUCUACUUAUGUAAUUAUCCACUGAACAGGUCUGCCAUGGUUACCCAUGUUACCAGGUAUUACGGUUAUGGAGCCUUUCAUCAGUCAAAAUUUAUUUUUCGCUGUGGAAGACGUUUCCUUAUUAUAUGUUAAAGAAUAUGGGGGAAUACCAAAGGUAAGGUGAAGUGCUUUCUGAACAUGAGAGACGAUCAGCUAAAUUUUGAGACACAAAUGACCAUCUGUGAUGCCAACUCCAAGCCAAAAACUUCCUAAAUACUAUUCAUAAGCUUAUCUUUCUAUGUUCAAUAUGGCAGGCAUAAAAAAAUGAAUAAUGUCGUCUAAGAAAUACCAUCAAAAGCAAUCUAAAAUCUUUAAUCUUUUUUCUGAGAAUAGGCAGUCAGAAUAUAGAGUUCUACACAUUAAAAAGAGAAGGAAACAGAGCGGUCUUCCUGUUAUCCAAACGAGCAGAUGAAUGCAAGAUAACUCAUAAAAAUCAUUAUAAAACUAGAUUCCUACUAUGUUCUUGCUGACAAUCACACAUGAGUUGAAUAUACAAAUGUAAAGAUAAAAAAUAGAAAUUUCAUGGAACCAACCAAGGGUGGUGGAACAGUAGAUCAUGCCAUUGUUGACUCAUUUAUUAAAGUUAGUAUAAAAAUACGGAGCUCUUUCUCACGUGUGAAGAAAAAAUUUGUACUACCUCAGUGGAAUUUCAUCACUCUUCUCAGAUGUCUCUUCAGGUAUUUGGCAUUGCAUUUCCAAAAUGAUAGAGCUUCUGCUGACUCUUGGGAUUUCACAUCUCUCAUAAUAUGCAGAGGAAAUGGGAAAUAAACUCUGAUAGUCAGAUGCUGAUACAGCUACCUUUAAUACAGCGCAAAAUAGAGGGCGACAAAGAACUGCAAAACAGGGAAGAGAUAAUAAAGCAUAAGAAAUACGAUAUUUUUCUGAAGACAAUUAGAUACCGGGUAUGCAAUCUGCUGCAGCAAUGCGCGACUACUAUCUCACAAGUGAACUAAUUUUUUUCAAAAUUCCAACGUAGGAGAGAGACCAUUAGACCUUACCGUUUCCUUUCAAACUGCCGAGAACAUCAAUGCAUGCCCGGAUCAGUUUCUCAUUAUCGGCCAAACAAAUAGAGCUGCCAACCCUCAAAAUCUCCACUCCCCUCUUGUCGCCUUCAUCACGGCGGAGGACAUUACAAGAAAUUGAUGAGGACAGAACAGAUACCAAGGUCUUGACAACGGUAUCAACCGUGGAGCCAUAAACCUAACAUAUUCCGGACAGCGCAUCCCCACCGCAUCAAUCACCUCGAAGACGAACAAAUUGCUCGAAUGGCAUCAAAAGAGGAAAAACAAAACAAAGAAUAGAGCUACCUCACGCGCUCUAUAACACAUGAGCGACAGUGCCGCGUCCAAAACCCUAGUUCCAGAUGCUGCCUCCGGAUUCGGUCUAAGGAAUUCCACAAGCGACGAAGCGGCUGUCCCAGCGACUUCCUCAUUCUCCCCGCCAUUGACGGGACGCCGUAUGGCGACGGCCAACUCUUCAAAGAGUCGGGUUACCUCAGCCAACCCCCCCAUGCAGCUCUGCAACUCCUGCAUCAGUGUGGAACGACCAUCUCCGUCCUCAGCAGUGCACCAAUUUAUAGUUGCUGAUGCCCCCCCACGAUCAUAUGACCGUUAGUCGUCUCGUCGGGGAAUCGGAUCCGAUCAUGUCGGGUUUGAUCCGAACCGUACAAUUGUCGGGUCCCUUAUAAAAUCCCGAAAGGCUGGCCAAAGGGAUCGUCUUCUAGAUUCUGAUUCUGCCGGCAGGUGGAGUCUCUUCUCCCGCUCUUCAGCAUCAUCAGCUUCUCUCGUCUCCUCCGGAUCCCCCCAAAAGGCCGGCGGAUCAUCGGAAAGGCUGGGGAUCCCUUCCGCUGGAGCGGCUAGAGAGGCUUGGCGACGGGAGUAGAGCGGGAGACGGCGUUAUUUUUGAAUCCCCCAACUUGCCGGCGACGCCGUCGCUGUGAUUGAUUGAAGUUGAAGCGAAAGCUGUAGCAGGAGCAAUCAGGGAGGAGUUGCUUUGGGGUGUUUCCUGAAGUGAGGGAUCUGAUUGAGGACGAGGGUCUCGGUGAUCUCUUUUGGGGCUCAGAGAUGGAUUACGGCGGAGGUAGCUGGAUGAUGGUUCCCAAUGAGAGCCCCGGAGCACAAGACCUCCAUUCAACCCAUGUGCAUAGCCAACAGAUGCAAUUCCAAGACCCUCAGCAACAGCAGUACCUGCAACAGCAACAGCAGCAGCAGCAGCAGCAUCAGCAGCAACAUCAUCACCAAUCUCUGGCUUCGGAUUUCCAUCUUCUUCACGUAGACUUUUUCUCUUUUAGGCUAGAAAAUUUCCAAUUUCAAAACUGAAUUUUGAAUAGUUAGCAUCAAUGGCGGAAAAAAUAGAAACGCUAACCUUACUAUAUCGUUGAAUUUCUCUUAGUUUCAAUUAAGCAAACUUCAUGAGAUGAGUCAUUUUUUCAAGUGAAUAAAAUAACAUUUUCCAUGUUUCUUAAAAGCAUCAACAAGUGCCACCAAGUCAUGACUAUCUUUUGGUAUGCAUCAAAUUGGGUUAUGGCUUGGAGAAAAAAUAUCUGCAGUCUUGUUUCUUCAAUCGAGAAUGAAUUAUCCUUAUUAGGCUAGAGGUUGCUCAGGAAAUACAGAUGUGAAGACUCAGAUGAUACAUUUUUAGUUCAAUUUAUGGGAUCAUUUAAAGUUGAAGAAUAGUGGGGUGGGGAAGUAUGAGGUGGUUCAAAUAUUUAACACGAGCUCACCAUAAUCUUUUCUACUUUAAUAUCUCUUUUAUUUCAUGAGAUGACCAAUUCCAUGGAUAUUUAGUCCGAUCAUAAAGCGCAUCUGCCAUUUACUCUUAUGCUGUCCAUUGACGACUCUUUCUCUUUAUUAUGUACGUACUUUUUACUGUAACGUUAACCAAAUUAAAGUACAUACAUCAACUUUGGUUUUCUGUUCCUCUAUACCUGUGACAUUAUCUUCGCAACGUUACAGUAGAAGCAUUUUAUAUGAUGCUGCAACCUUUAUUCUGACGAUUUUGAGGGUAUGCUUGAUAAUUUCAUAUUUCUGGGGCCAACAUGAUUUUCGGCGGAGCAUUGAACGAGUAAUUUACUUCCUUUUUCUUUGUUGAACUACCAUAUUGGUUAUGAUAUUAAGUGACCGAACAUCAGAUAAACAGAUGUGCACUUACUUCUUAUGCUAAUUUUCUGCUUAGGCUAUAGUUUGAUAUGUCUUUUGAAACCUCUUUAUCACAAGUUGCAUUUUAUUCUGAAUUGUUUCAAAUUGUGUAAAAUUUCAUUGUUUCAUCUUUUAUUUUUCAGAUAGUGGAAAGCUUAGCUGGUGCAAUCGAAGGUGGGUCACGUGACCAACAGUUGGAUGCUCUGGUUGGUAUCCUUCAUCCACAUCCAAAUCGUUGAUUGCUUCUUAUGCCUAAAGGGGCGCUUUUUACGAUUGAAUGUGCUUCCUUCGCUACAUUGGUGGUCAAAUUUCGAUUCAUUAUCUUAGAUUUCCACAGGAUACCUCUUUUUCUUGGUUUACGUUCUUAGAAGACGGGACCCUAUUGUAAUUAUGUCUCUUCAACAAAUUGGCAAUUAUGGCUUAAGUUAAUGGAUAUCAGUAAACCUAUUGCAUUUUGUAUCAUGAGUCUCCUUGAUGCUCAUGACUGACAGUCUCCAAUUAAUAACUUACCUGUUUCCUUAUAUUUUCUUUCAACAUAAUUUUUUAUGUCUCUUUUUAAAAUAAGUUAAAUUCCUGUAUUGCGCUGUAAAGAGAUACUGAAUUUAGUUACCCAGAUUUCCCCUUCUUUUUGGAAAUGUUCAAUCCGCAAAGAUUAAGAAUUGAUUGAUAUCGGAUAAAUAAACGCAAUCCAAUGAAAAAAUAACUCAAGAUGAGGAAAUUUGGUAAUCUACAGGCGCUUGGCCAGGACUGGCUUGGUUCCACUCGAAUUCAAUGCCAAUGUUUUGUGUCAAUAUCUGUAUGGCUUAGGGAGACCUUGACCUGGCUUCUGUGUUCCUCCAAACUACUGAAUCUGUGUUAUGUUGUCUGUGUCGCGUCCAAUGUCCAGAUCAUGCAUUGCUAAUCUGUGAACAAUGUUAAUUUCAAUACCCACCAUUUAGUGGGAUCUGUAGGAUGCAAAGCUUGUCUUCUGUGAAAAGUGUCAGGUAUAGAUGGAUCACGGAUUGCUGAUUUUUGAAAAAUUUGCCUAUUUAAAGAACUUGAGGAGGGAGCUGGGAGAUACCAAAUUAAGUUUGGUCUUCAGACAUGAACAUAGAAGUAGAUUUCCACAAAAAGUAUGUUUGUGUUCAAACCAGUGUAUUGUUUUACCUCUUGACUCUGUCAUCUCCUUAAUAUACUUAGUCAUAGCUUCAGUUAACCUGAACAUCUGAAAUCUUUCUGAGAAAACAUUUUUAAGGCAAUGCCUAAGAUGAAAGCUAGCCUACAAGCUUGAGAGAAAUGAAUUUUUUUAAUUAAAUUAAUAAAUUAAAUUAAUUCGUUAUUGUUUGAAAAAUAAUUAUCUUAUAUCUAAAUUAUAUUAACAUAUAUUUAUAUUUUACAAACGUAAAUUAUUUACAUACUUUGAUGAAGUCAGUGUGCGUUGUAUGUAUGCAUCAUGAUUUCUCAAAUAGUUUUGGUCUAGCAUUUAAAUAUUACUUUCUAACAUUUAUAAAAAGGCAUUGCCAAUCGUCUCUGCUGCUUAUCACCAUGCUAUGAGGUGGUAGACUUCCGCCAUGAUCACCCUGGUCGCCAUAAAAACCAUGGACAAAACCUUCAUACUUAACCAUAAUACAUGCAGAUACUUUUUUUUAAUAUUAAACAUGGCUUUUACUUUGUUUAGUACUUUCUUCAGUAAGCAACGCCUUUCCCUUACUGUCUUGUAGGUUAAUGAAUUGACCAGCCACUUCAGUAACUGUCAGCAGCUGCUGAACUCCAUCUCAGGAACCACUAAUACAACACCUGUGGUAACCAUCGCUCCCUGUCCCAUUGGAAAAAUUGCAAGGGAAUUCUUCAUGAUUUACAUUGUUUGAUCGUCUCUAUCACUGAAUAUCGUCACUAUGUUAUGUUCUUACCUUAUGUUAGAUCUUGUUGCCCCAUUAUUAUCUACUAAUUUUUUUUCUAAUUAUAUAUAUCUGCGCAUGCUAUUUUGUCCACGUGCCCAUAUUAUACAUAUUCUGGUAAAUUUUUCCUAUUUAGAAUGGACACUCUAACGGCCAUAUAUCCAUCGGGGACUCCCCAUACUUUGGAUGUCUAUAUAGUUUGUAUGAUUCAUGUGCAAUUAUUAUCAAGAUUCUUGACCCUGUUUUCUUCAUGGAUCCAUCGCAUCAAAGUUUGUCUACUUUCUCUGUUCAUAUCUGCCCACCCAUCUCUGUCUGCCUCUACCUCCACCACCACUCACUCUCGUGUUCUUAUAUGCUCUUCAUUUUAUAUUUUUUUUGCAAAAAAUCUGAAUAAUUUCACAUAGAAAGUGAUUUCUGCUGUGUAUAGUUCUGAAGUUCCAAAUAUAUAUUUAUUUAUCCAUUUUUACAGAAUAAUCCGGAUGUCCACAUAGCCUUAGCUGGAGGAAAUAUUCUUCACUUUUUUGUCUGCAAAUAUUUUUGCGAUAAAUGAUAGUUUAUUUUUCCAUGGAAACUAAUUUACUAUAUAAUGUUUUAUUUAUCCAUGAUGAUCUCAUGACGAUCGCUUAUUUCUGCCAGACCGUCGAAGGCCAGAAGAGGAAGCUAGAAGAAGCUGAGCAACAGCUGAACCAGAGAAGGUUUGCUCUGCAAUUGCUGCAGAAAUUGAGUUCAGUCCGCAUGUACUCCAGACUGCAUCUCUCUCCGUUGACUUUUUUCAGGGACCUGAUGAACAAGUACAAGAGCUGCGUGGAAGACCUAGUCAGACCAAACAGACAGAAAUAAAUUGGAUCUCAGUGCCAUUUCGGUUGAAUUGUGGUAAGUGUCUCCUCUCUCUCUCUCNNNNNNNNNNNNNNNNNNNNNNNNNNNNNNNNNNNNNNNNNNNNNNNNNNNNNNNNNNNNNNNNNNNNNNNNNNNNNNNNNNNNNNNNNNNNNNNNNNNNNNNNNNNNNNNNNNNNNNNNNNNNNNNNNNNNNNNNNNNNNNNNNNNNNNNNNNNNNNNNNNNNNNNNNNNNNNNNNNNNNNNNNNNNNNNNNNNNNNNNNNNNNNNNNNNNNNNNNNNNNNNNNNNNNNNNNNNNNNNNNNNNNNNNNNNNNNNNNNNNNNNNNNNNNNNNNNNNNNNNNNNNNNNNNNNNNNNNNNNNNNNNNNNNNNNNNNNNNNNNNNNNNNNNNNNNNNNNNNNNNNNNNNNNNNNNNNNNNNNNNNNNNNNNNNNNNNNNNNNNNNNNNNNNNNNNNNNNNNNNNNNNNNNNNNNNNNNNNNNNNNNNNNNNNNNNNNNNNNNNNNNNNNNNNNNNNNNNNNNNNNNNNNNNNNNNNNNNNNNNNNNNNNNNNNNNNNNNNNNNNNNNNNNNNNNNNNNNNNNNNNNNNNNNNNNNNNNNNNNNNNNNNNNNNNNNNNNNNNNNNNNNNNNNNNNNNNNNNNNNNNNNNNNNNNNNNNNNNNNNNNNNNNNNNNNNNNNNNNNNNNNNNNNNNNNNNNNNNNNNCUCUAUCUCUCUCUAUUUUUCUCCUGUGAGAAAGAUGUGGGUUAUCAUUUUUGCUUGUGAUGAACCGUGGAAAAGUUAUAGAAUACCACUUUAUGCUUCAAAUGGUUCAGCUCUCUCUCUCUCUCUUCCUCUCUCACUCUCAAAUGUAGAAAAAGUGAGAGAAAGAACGAUAAUUAAAUCUUUAAUCCACUAGGCCAUUUCGGUUGACCUAGUCAAACCAAACAGACAGAAAUAAAUCUCUCUCUCUCUCCUCUCACUCUCAGAUGUAGAAAAAGUGAGAGAAAGAACGAUAAUUAAAUCUUUAAUCCACUAGGCCCAUGAUCCUCAACCCUUGAGCUAGUAAAGAAUGAUCUACACAAUCCUUAGAUCCACGAAGGUCAGAAUGAUGACUCCUCAAACGCACAUUAAUUUUUCUCUCAGUAGAAAUAAAUUUAUGAAGAAAACUAAAAUUUUAUUACCGUUGACAACCAUCGAUGUUAUAGUAUAGUAGCCUCUAGCAUUUAAAUAGAUUUAAUUGAAUUUUUUCUUCCUAAAAAUCAAAAAAAUUAAUAAAAAAGUGAAUUGACACAAAACAUAUAAUUACUUGUAUUGCAAAUAUUACAUUUUAUAAAUACAGUUUGAAAGUCGACAUCCCCCGAAAUAACCAAUUUAUUUUUAUUUCACGAUUUUUUAUAUGUAAAUGGAUUAAAUAGUCCCUGCAUAUUAAGACGUCGCAAAUAAUGAAUUUUUAAGCAGGGUGUGUUCAGUAAAAUAAGAAAAUUUAGAUAAAAUAAAAAAUUUAUGAAAUAUUUAUUGCAGUGGACGAGACCUCUGCAACUCGCGGCUACGGGAAGUGGAGCGGAACUCGAGGGCGGCUUUCGCCGGCGGAUUGUGUCGUUCCUUCUUCUUGGUCGAACCCUAGAAGGAGGUCGCCGUGGCCCGCCGCAGCUGAGCCGGUGGAGACGACUGAAGCUUUGGUGUUCAUCGCCACCGGUAUUCGUUGGCGAGGCGUUGUGGGUUAUCUGGCAGAGUUCCUGGGCGAUAUUCGCUCAGUUGCCGGGAUUCCAGUAUUGGUGAGUGUCGUAUUCGUAUCUUUCUCUGGAAGAAUCAUGGCCCUGUGGUUUGAGCUUAUUCUCUUGGAAUCCGAUCACCUUUGAAGCUUUGCUAGCAGCCGGCUUGAAAUUUCGCUCUCGUUAGUAUACAAUCUGUUUAUUGGUCUGUUGUUCUUUCUAGUGGAUGAUUUAAUAGAUUCUUCUCUCCUCUGCGUACUUUCGGAUCCGCCAGCAAUUUUAUUUUUCGAUUUAAUAGCGGAGCUGUGAUUGCCGCGUUCCAAGGUGACCGACUGGGCUAAUUGUCGUCUUAGCCGGAUGGAUUUUGAGGACCUCAGUUUGAGCAUUCCAGGGUUUGGCUAGAAAUGUUUGUGGAUUGUUUCAUAAUGCGGGCGUAGGCACCGAGCCUCAAAUACUAUAUUUUAAAUUUAUUCUUCCGGUGAGAAAUUCUUGUAUGACCUGAAUAUGGAUAAUAUGCACUUUUUUUCAUCGCAUUUUUUUUAAAAAGUGGAUAAGCUAGCUGUGUUCUAGCCUUCAAGCACUCUGUAAGCGUAGGGAAGAAAAAAACUUAGCAUAUAAGUUUCAUUGCAAUACAAUCCCUGAAUAAAUCAUUGCUGGUAUUAUCAGAUAUUCCCUUUAUGUUCUUGGUGUCUUAAUACAAGGCAGGAGUGAAUUUUGUGGCUGAAUAACUUCUUUUUUAAGGAUAACAGUUUCCAUUUUUUUUUCUUUACCAGCAGCAUCUCACCAAAUUCGGAUGCAAAUCUUUGGACGGCAUUUUGGUUUCAGUGGGGGAAGAAUAAUAAACAUAAACAGAGACCUUAUCUCCUGAAGAACGUCAUCUAUCAAUAGAGAUUGAUGGCUUCCUUUUCUUCCCGCAUUUUCAGAAAAACCAGAUCCCUAUCAUCGUCCAUUAACGCCCGACUUCUUUCCCUCUCUGCCCACCCAGAAACAGCUGAAAACUUCAAUCAUGGCUCGCGCUUUGUCCUCCACAGUCCAUCAAAGCCCAGGCUCUCUGAUCACUCGCAUGCCCUCCUUUUCCCUCAGAUUCGCAUCUCUACCCUGCCUAAUGGUAUCCGUGUGGCCACCCAGGCAUCUCCAUCCUCUGCCACACACACAGCUUCUGUUGGCGUUUGGAUUGAUUCUGGGAGUCGGUAUGAUGCUCCUGAUGCAAGCGGCACGGCGCACUUUCUGGAGCACAUGAUCUUCAAGGGGACUCAUUGUCGCACGGCAAGUUCUUUGGAGGAGGAAAUUGAGAACAUGGGUGCGCGUCUCAAUGCCUACACUUCACGUGAGCAGACUACCUUCUAUUCCGAUGUCCAGCGCGGUGAUGUUCCUGUUGCCAUUGACAUUCUUGCUGAUAUCUUGCAAAACUCAAGAUUUCCUGACUAUGCCAUUAGACGGGAGCGAGGUGUCAUUCUUCGAGAAAUGGAGGAGGUAAUUUUUUUCUCAAUGUUUUUAGCAUUCUCUCUUCAUUUUUCUCCCUUUUUAUGUAUUCAUCCACAGCUCUAAAUCAGUAUUCAUGGAUAUCUUGGAAAUUGACUGAACUUUAUCCACAGUAUUUAUUUAUCUAUCUUGGAUAUUUUUGAAAUAAACAGGUUCAAGGGCAGAUAGAAGAGGUACUUUUUGACCAUUUGCAUUCAGCAGCGUUCAAUAAUCAUCCUCUGGGAAAUACGAUAUUAGGGCCUGAAGAGAAUAUCCGGGCAAUUUCUAAGGCGGAUCUACACGAAUACAUUUCCACUCAUUAUACAGGACCUAGGAUGGUAUUUCCAAAACAGACGAGCUUUAAUAUCUGUUAAUGAUGACAGAUGGUUCUUCUUCUCAUUAUAUUCUGGUAUGAAACAGGUCAUAUCAGCUGCCGGUGCGGUCAAGCAUGAGGACAUUGUCGAUCAAGUGAGCAAGCUGUUCAACAAGGUGUCCCAAGAUCCUACGACUGCCCAUCAGCUGGUCAAGAAAAAUCCAGCUACCUUCACUGGCUCAGAGGUUUCUUCGCUCAUCAACUUCUCUUUGACAAUACAGUUGACUUUUGCCCUCCGAAUUUUCUCUUACAGCAAUCGGCUCCAUUCCAUGGCAUCAGGUUCGGGUAGAGAAUGCUGGCAUGCCACUCGUGCACUUUGCAUUAGCUUUCAAGGGAUCCUCAUGGACUGAUUCCAACUCUGUUCCAUUAAUGGUGAUCCAGAGCUUGCUGGGAUCAUGGAGCAGAGGUGUUGUCGGAAGUUGUUCUGGGUAUGCCAAUAUUACUGCCCAUUAUGAGCUCCUGAUUGCUGUCAUUUUAUAUAUUCUCACCCUGAAAUUACGUUCAGUUGUGAGUUAGCUCACCGAGUCAGCACGGAGGACUUGGCCGAGAGUAUAAUGUCCUUCAAUACCAACUACAGCGAUACGGGAUUGAUAGGCAUCUGUUUCACUGCAAUGGUGAGCACUUUUUUUUUCCCCACUCGCUAGUCUUUCUCUAGCCCACUGCCCCCCCCUCUCCUGUCCUCAUGGUGCAGUGUUCUGACGGCACAGACAUGUUCCAGUGAUCAUGGCACAUUUGGUAACGUUUAUCUUGCAAUGAACGUUUAUCUAAGAUUUAAUAGAAUCAUUAUCUUUUCAUAGAUAUUUUUGCUAUAAUUUUCUCCUUUAAACUGAGCCAGAUUUCAAGAAUCGGAAAUUUUUAUUCAUGAGUUUUAUGUUGUGGAAUUUUCUUGUGUUUCUUCCAACUCUUCCCAAAACCGGCUUACCUUCUGAAUCAAUCUUUUCAGUGAUCCACGCUCUAUUUUUUCCCUAUUAUUUCCCUUUUUAUGAGAACAUUCUCCUCUAUUCCCAUUGAUAAAAUUUUAUGGCCGAUCAUACGGCAGUAUCAGUACCAUACCAUUGAUUAUAAACUUGUGAUGGAUCCUUACUUAAAUGAAUGUUUUCUCUCUGGUUUUUUGCACUUUCUGCAGCCUGAUAAACUUCAAGAUCUGUCCCUCGUUAUAAUGGAAGAGCUGAGAAGACUGGCAUGCAGGGUAUCGGAUGAAGAAGUCAUACGAGCCCAGAACAAGGUGAGCCGCAAAGAUCUGUCUGCUAGGGAGAAUUUUUUGUAGAAAAUUGGCGACGGGCGGCUAAAAUGCGUUUCGCUUUUAGACAAUUUCUAUAAUCUCAUUUCAUUAUAUGCAGGCUUAAAACUUCCUAUUUAGACAUGGAACGAUGCUUUCACAUUAUUAUUCUUUGUUCAUGCUUGAAAAUUUCUCGUCUGAACCCUAGCCAUGAAUUCACAAAGAACUAGGAUUAUUUCCAGCUCCCCCUCUCUAAGAUGCUCUUCCAGAUCAGAUUUUAUGAACAUGUCUUCUAGAAUAAUGUUCUAUACUUCAACUUGGGCGCACUGCAUUUGAAUUCGCUGUCUUAUUCUGUUUCUCAUUCUCUUGGUUCUCUAGAUAAUUAAUCACUGUGAAAUAUCCUCGACUUUGGUCCAUUCCCUCUAAGAAACUAUGCCCAAUGAUACUUCAUAUAUUAGCUGUAUUAAGAAGAUCUGCGGACAGCUUCUAUCAUGGGAAAAAAAAUCAAUUUACUGGGUAUUUAUUUAUUUUUAGCUUAUUGGGGUUGAUUUCUUGGGGCCAUUAAUCUCCAUAUGCAGCUGAAAGCCGCCCUCUUGCUACACAUCGACGGAGCCAGUUCAGUUGCUGAGAACAAUGGCCGCCAGGUGUGGCAUUCUGAGCCAGCUAUACUUAUAUAUAUAUUAUUUAUAAUAAAUAAGUUGUACUAAUGACUCUGGGUCCGUUGACUUUCAGUUACUGUCAUAUGGGAGAGUGAUUCCGUUCGUCGAGCUCUUUGCCCGAAUCGAUGCUGUGGGGCCCGAGACGAUCAAGGAGACAGCGAGGAGCUUCCUAAUCGACAAGGCAAGGCUAUUCAUCACACGCCCUUUUCUUUCUUUGUCCUAAUCUCGGAUUCAUUGCCGAUUUGGAGCACAGUGGAUUGGGCCUUGACCUUCGAAGAGGCCCGGCCCGAAAGCCCGUCGGCCAAACCGGGCCCGGGCUAGAAUGCCCAUAAGGCCCGGUCUGGCCCAUUCCCCUUGGCGCUCUGUAACGUUCUUUGCCGUGGGAGCUUGUCAAAUAAUCUUCGCCGUCUGAUGUUGAUCCAACGUUUCAGGAUAUUGCGAUCGCCGCCAUUGGGCCGAUCGACCAGCUCCCGGAUUACAGCUGGUUCCGUUCUCAGACUUGUCUGAAAUGACUGGACCAAGCCGUUGACUACGUUUCCAGCUUGGAUGCUGCUUAUGGGUAAGCCUUAUCCCAGCUAAAUACCCCUGCAGGCUGUUGACUAUCAUCACCCCGCCGCCUUUUUUUUAUUUAUUUGUAGCCUCAUCGUUAUUUUCUGUUGAUGUAUACGAGGACAAUGGAAGAAAUUCAUUGGAAUUUAUCACUACAAGAGGCCAUGCAAAUCAUUGGAAUUACGCAUCAUUCUUUUGCCUAUUUCCCACCAUUUCCUAUGGAUUAAUUCCUUGUCAAAUCUCUUGAGUUUAGAGAGAGAGAGAGAGAGAGAGAGAGAGAGAGAGAGAGAGAGAGAGAGAGUUUCACCGAAUCGAUCAUCUAGUCGAUCAUAAAGUGCCAGUUCAUCUCAUAAUAUCCACAGAGAUCAUAAGGGCACCGAGGUCUCUUGCUCAUUCAACCGAGGAGCAGGCUUUUCAGAGGAAACUGCGGCCAAAGAAAGAGUUUGAUGAACAGGUUACUGUAUACCCCAUAGUGGCGGAUGAACAGAUCAAGAUCAUAGGCAACGACUGAUUAUAGGAUUAAAAAAUGACAGAAAAGAGGAAGCUUUUCAUAGAUUAAUCUCAUUGAUGCCAAAUGAUGAAUCCGUGAUCUACUGGAGUAUAUUUUUUAUCAGAUGAAUCUUGAGAGGAUUCAAAUUCUACAGAACCCUCUGCCUCACCUCUGCUGUGCCAUAUGGGGAAGAGCGCCAAUGGAGUCAGCGCCGAGAGCUCAGAGAGCUGUUAGGACUUGCGUUGUGCUUGGCUGAGGUCGUUCUUGUCGGCCCCCUUGGUUCCAGAGACGGCGGCGGUGGCGGCAGCCGUCAUUGCGGCGGCUGCCGCCCCGAUCUUCACGCCUCCUGCUGCCUUCAUAGCUCCGGCGACCUUCGCAAAGGCCGCGAUUCCGCUGACGAGGACGGCCCUCAGCACCACCGUCGGCUUCAUGUUCUCUCCUGAACGGAUGCACGGGACGAUCGCAUCAUGAGAUAUCAGAUCGGAUCGCUCGUUUCAAAGGCAUCAAGCUCCGCAGUCCACACGAAUCUUGAAGAGAGAGAGAGAGAGAGAGAGAGAGAGAGAUGCACUGAUGUAAAGAACCGCAGCAAAGGAUGGAAGUCUUGGAGAAGGUAACCGACUUUUUUCCUCUGGAAGAAGAAUGAGGACCGAUUUGUUGCAUCUGUUCAUUCAGCAGUCUAUUUUCUCAAUCGUUUUCAUUCGUGAAAUGGAGGAAAAUCUGUGACAUGUUCGUUCGUGAUUAUCUUCCUGAUCGCCACUCUUUCUGAGGACCACGAGAGGAGUGGAGAGGCGAUUGCGAGGGGAAGAACGUGCAACGUUCUACGAUCCAGGCAGCGGAAAGAGGAUAAACGAGAAGUUGAAUAUAGAUUUGAAAUUCUACAGAGGAAGAAGCUCGGAGAAAGCGAUCGAUCGGAAAGAAAUGCGACAGAUCAACUAUCAGGCCGAUCAAUGUCAAACAGCUCUGCAAUUCCAUGGUUCGUCUAGUGAAUCCAGAAACACAGCAUCAUUCUGGGAUGGAUAAAUCACACAGAUCGGCUUCGGGAGUGGAGAUUCGGAUCAUCAUCGUCAUCAAAACCUCAGUGGAGAGAAUCAAAACUGCGCGAGGAAUCAAAUCCAAAGGAUCAGACGACACACCUGCAGAAGAGAAGCAGAUCGCAGGGGACUCCUCGCCAGCCUUCUACCCCUCGUAUCGUCCUCUCCGGCCACGGCGCGCGGCGACAGAUUUGGGCCUCCCCCUACGAAGGCAAGAGGAGCUUUUGGACCGUCCGAUCUUUGAUGGACGGUAAGCGAUCACCCUCUACACGACCUGG
rnacentral:lncRNA from 1 species